rnacentral:rRNA from 1 species
UUGAGACCGGCGCACGGGUGCGUAACGCGUAUGCAAUCUACCUUUUACAGAGGGAUAGCCCAGAGAAAUUUGGAUUAAUACCUCAUAGUAUAGUGAGUUGGCAUCAACACACUAUUAAAGUCACAACGGUAAAAGAUGAGCAUGCGUCCCAUUAGCUAGUUGGUAAGGUAACGGCUUACCAAGGCAACGAUGGGUAGGGGUCCUGAGAGGGAGAUCCCCCCACACUGGUACUGAGACACGGACCAGACUCCUACGGGAGGCAGCAGUGAGGAAUAUUGGUCAAUGGGCGCAAGCCUGAACCAGCCAUGCCGCGUGCAGGAUGACGGUCCUAUGGAUUGUAAACUGCUUUUGCACAGGAAGAAACACUCGGUCGUGACCGAGCUUGACGGUACUGUGAGAAUAAGGAUCGGCUAACUCCGUGCCAGCAGCCGCGGUAAUACGGAGGAUCCAAGCGUUAUCCGGAAUCAUUGGGUUUAAAGGGUCCGUAGGCGGCCAGAUAAGUCAGUGGUGAAAGCCCAUCGCUCAACGAUGGAACGGCCAUUGAUACUGUUUGGCUUGAAUUAUUUGGAAGUAACUAGAAUAUGUAGUGUAGCGGUGAAAUGCUUAGAGAUUACAUGGAAUACCAAUUGCGAAGGCAGGUUACUACAAAUUGAUUGACGCUGAUGGACGAAAGCGUGGGUAGCGAACAGGAUUAGAUACCCUGGUAGUCCACGCCGUAAACGAUGGAUACUAGCUGUUGGGAGCAAUCUCAGUGGCUAAGCGAAAGUGAUAAGUAUCCCACCUGGGGAGUACGUUCGCAAGAAUGAAACUCAAAGGAAUUGACGGGGGCCCGCACAAGCGGUGGAGCAUGUGGUUUAAUUCGAUGAUACGCGAGGAACCUUACCAAGGCUUAAAUGUAGAUUGACCGGUUUGGAAACAGACUUUUCGCAAGACAAUUUACAAGGUGCUGCAUGGUUGUCGUCAGCUCGUGCCSUGAGGUGUCAGGUUAAGUCCUAUAACGAGCGCAACCCCUGUUGUUAGUUGCCAGCGAGUCAUGUCGGGAACUCUAGCAAGACUGCCAGUGUAAACUGUGAGGAAGGUGGGGAUGACGUCAAAUCAUCACGGCCCUUACGCCUUGGGCUACACACGUGCUACAAUGGCCGGUACAGAGAGCAGCCACUACGCGAAGUAGGAGCGAAUCUAUAAAACCGGUCUCAGUU